UCAGCUCGUGUCGUGAGAUGUUGGGUUAAGUCCGCAACGAGCGCAACCCCUAUUGUUAGUUGCCAUCAUUCAGUUGGGCACUCUAGCGAGACUGCCGGUAAUAAACCGGAGGAAGGUGGGGAUGACGUCAAAUCAUCAUGCCCCUUAUGACCUGGGCUACACACGUGCUACAAUGGUUGGUACAACGAGUUGCGAGUCGGUGACGGCGAGCUAAUCUCUUAAAGCCAAUCUCAGUUCGGAUUGUAGGCUGCAACCCGCCUACAUGAAGUCGGAAUCGCUAGUAAUCGCGGAUCAGCACGCCGCGGUGAAUACGUUCCCGGGCCUU
rnacentral:rRNA from 1 species